rnacentral:rRNA from 1 species
UACAGAGGUCUCAAGCGUUGUUCGGAUUCAUUGGGCGUAAAGGGUGCGCAGGCGGCGUGGAAAGUUGAGUGUGAAAUCUCGGGGCUUAACCCCGAAACUGCACUCAAUACUCCCAUGCUAGAGGAAUGUAGAGGAGAGUGGAAUUCACGGUGUAGCAGUGAAAUGCGUAGAUAUCGUGAGGAAGACCAGUUGCGAAGGCGACUCUCUGGGCAUUUCCUGACGCUCAGGCACGAAGGCCAGGGGAGCAAACGGG